GACGAACGCUGUUGGCGUGCUUAACACAUGCAAGUCGAACGGAAAGGCCCUGCUUUUGUGGGGUGCUCGAGUGGCGAACGGGUGAGUAACACGUGAGUAACCUGCCCUUGACUUUGGGAUAACUUCAGGAAACUGGGGCUAAUACCGGAUAGGAGCUCCUGCUGCAUGGUGGGGGUUGGAAAGUUUCGGCGGUUGGGGAUGGACUCGCGGCUUAUCAGCUUGUUGGUGGGGUAGUGGCUUACCAAGGCUUUGACGGGUAGCCGGCCUGAGAGGGUGACCGGCCACAUUGGGACUGAGAUACGGCCCAGACUCCUACGGGAGGCAGCAGUGGGGAAUAUUGCACAAUGGGCGGAAGCCUGAUGCAGCAACGCCGCGUGCGGGAUGACGGCCUUCGGGUUGUAAACCGCUUUCGCCUGUGACGAAGCGUGAGUGACGGUAAUGGGUAAAGAAGCACCGGCUAACUACGUGCCAGCAGCCGCGGUGAUACGUAGGGUGCGAGCGUUGUCCGGAUUUAUUGGGCGUAAAGGGCUCGUAGGUGGUUGAUCGCGUCGGAAGUGUAAUCUUGGGGCUUAACCCUGAGCGUGCUUUCGAUACGGGUUGACUUGAGGAAGGUAGGGGAGAAUGGAAUUCCUGGUGGAGCGGUGGAAUGCGCAGAUAUCAGGAGGAACACCAGUGGCGAAGGCGGUUCUCUGGGCCUUUCCUGACGCUGAGGAGCGAAAGCGUGGGGAGCGAACAGGCUUAGAUACCCUGGUAGUCCACGCUGUAAACGGUGGGUACUAGGUGUGGGGUCCAUUCCACGGGUUCCGUGCCGUAGCUAACGCUUUAAGUACCCCGCCUGGGGAGUACGGCCGCAAGGCUAAAACUCAAAGGAAUUGACGGGGCCCCGCACAAGCGGCGGAGCAUGCGGAUUAAUUCGAUGCAACGCGUAGAACCUUACCUGGGUUUGACAUGGAUCGGGAGCGCUCAGAGAUGGGUGUGCCUCUUUUGGGGUCGGUUCACAGGUGGUGCAUGGCUGUCGUCAGCUCGUGUCGUGAGAUGUUGGGUUAAGUCCCGCAACGAGCGCAACCCUUGUUCACUGUUGCCAGCACGUUAUGGUGGGGACUCAGUGGAGACCGCCGGGGUCAACUCGGAGGAAGGUGGGGAUGACGUCAAGUCAUCAUGCCCCUUAUGUCCAGGGCUUCACGCAUGCUACAAUGGCUGGUACAGAGAGUGGCGAGCCUGUGAGGGUGAGCGAAUCUCGGAAAGCCGGUCUCAGUUCGGAUUGGGGUCUGCAACUCGACCUCAUGAAGUCGGAGUCGCUAGUAAUCAAAGAUCAGCAACGCUGCGGUGAAUACGUUCCCGGG
rnacentral:rRNA from 1 species